GGGGGGGGGGGGGGGGGGGGGGGGGGGGGGGGGGGGGGGGGGGCGGGGGGGGGGGUGGGGCCGGUGAGGGUGGCGGCGGGGGGGGGGGUGACGCGGGGAUACCCUGCCUAUAGGGCUGGGAGCACUUCGGGAGACCGGGGCUAAUACCGGAUACUAUGUUGAACCGCGUGGUUCCGUAGUGAAAGACGGUUUUGCUGUCACUUAUCGAUGGAUCCGCGCCGCAGUAGCUCGUUGGUACGGUCACGGCUUACCAAGGCAACGAUGCGUAGCCGACCUGAGAGGGUGAUCGGCCACACUGGAACUGAGACACGGCCCAGACUCCUACGGGAGGCAGCAGUUGGGAAUCUUCCGCAAUGGGCGAAAGCCUGACGGAGCAACGCCGCGUGAGUGAUGAAGGUCUUCGGAUCGUAAAACUCUGUUAUUAGGGAAGAACAAAUGUGUAAGUAACUAUGCACGUCUUAACGGUACCUAAUCAGAAAGCCACGGCUAACUACGUG
rnacentral:rRNA from 1 species